CUGGUUUAUCCCGGAGCUGGUUUGAAUCAAGUUUCCUUCACUUACAAAUGAAAAAAAAAUCUGAUGAACUCCUAUCUAUAAAAUCCUCCUGGAGAAAUGCAGCUUUGGCAUCUAGAGAAGGACCAAGCCGGUGUGCUGCUGUGAACAGGAGAGAAGCUGGAGCCACGGGAGAUGGCUGGAAAUAGACUCGGGCUGGAUGUUUGCCAGCAGCUACGAACCUGAGAACCAACUGGGGCAGCUGCUGAGCUAUAAUGAGUGGAGCUUUGAGAAGAAACAUGCCUGGACUUCAGACUUCAGUACACAUCUACCUGCUUGGAAUCUCCAUCUGGAUGCCUACAGACAUCUGAAAUGAAAAUGCUUCGCCGGGUGCGGUGGCUUACGCCUGUAAUCCCAACACUUCUGGAGGCCGA